rnacentral:lncRNA from 10 species
AUCUAUAUGCAGCAGACAUGGUGCUAGGACUCCACACGUCCUCUCAGUAAAUCCCAGGAGACAGGACCCCAGAGGCAUUGCUCUCAUUCAGUGCUCUCGCCUCCCUCCUGGAUUGCCUAGUCAGGUAAACCUGCCGCAUACAGGUGGGAAGGGCCGUCAUGGGGGUCUGAGAGAGGCCGGUGGGGCCUGAAGGAGAGAGUGCUUGGCUCCACGUGGGAAGAAUUGGGCAGGUGGGAGCAGUUGCAGAGGGCUUGCAGAGGAGGUUGUCAGAGAGGGCGUUCUGGGUGGUUGGGGCAGGGGGCAGGGGGCAGAGGCUUAGAGGCACAGAGCAGCAGGGAGCCUCAUCCUCAGGGAACACUGAGAGUUUGGGGAGGGAGAGUUGUUUUGUGUGGGAGGCAGGGUGGGAGUAGAUGAUGCUGGGGAGGUGGGAGUGAGGGGCCCAGAUCAUGAGGGACCUCGGCGUCCUGGCUCGGUUGAGCAGUUUGGACUUUGUGCUCUGAACAUGUGUUUCAGAGUGAGACAUGGAGAGGGGCUGAUGUAACCACCCCAGCAGGAGUAAGGAGGCUGGAAGGAGGAAACCAGUGAUGAAGGAUUUGCCAUAACCUUGUCCUGGAUGGAGAGCCAUGGCCAAAGUGGGUGGAGAGGAAUGGCCAUGCAAGGCAGCUGUGAUGGAUUCACCUCUGUGCAAGACAGCUAUGACGGAGUUGAUAGAAAGUGUGAGAACAUGGGCCACCCCUCCUUGGAUGUAUUGGAAUGGUGUGAUUCUAAGAGUCCUGGGACAGAAGGAGUAUUGGAGGUGUCAAGGGGCUGGACCGGUGAGGACAGGAGUCGAAUGUGCCCCUGAUCUCUGUCCCUCUCCUCGGGGCUGCAGCCCUUGUGACAUCGAAGUGCCCCACCCCCUCCUUCGGCUUCCCUCGCUGCUGCGCAGAGGCCACUGGAGGGCGCUGUCUCCUCACACUUCUGGCUGAGCUCACCUCCGCUGUCUGAACCUCCUUUUGAGGCUGGAGAGAAAUUGAGAGGCCUGGAGCCAGUGUCUGGGAGGCCUCUGGACACAGCUGGACCCACCGAGGCCACAUGGGGUCAGUAGGAUCUGAGCCUGUGGAAGGAGGUGCCAGAGCAAUGACUAGGAGUCAAAGUCCUGGGCUUCAGGGCGAGGGCUUGUGGUGAGCUCUGGACAAAUGGCUUUGUCUGUUCGAUCCUCAGUUUUUGUAUCUGCAGACUGUGGAGAGUGACCCACCUUAUGGCACUGUUGUGAGAAGUGCUACAAAUGAGAAUGUACAUGUGAGUGCUUCAAAGAACUCAGAUGUUCUCCAUGCCAGAGUGGGUUUUAUUUAUUUAUUUAUUUUUUG